AGAGCGGAUCCCCCCCACCCCCAACCCGCCGCCCCCUGCCAGACGCGGCGCUGCGCAGGGUCCUAGUGCCCGCUGUGCGGAGGGUUCCUGAAUCUGGCCACUUCGAUGGGAGGCCCUGUGCUCCCAGUGCCACCCGAAGGGCCUGAGGAGACCACCUGCAGCUCUUCCAGUAAAUAUGACCACCAAGAUGCAAAACAAGAAAAAAAGAAAAAGAAAAAAAAAGGCUGUGGGCUACCAGACAUCACAGGGAAUGAGUAUACACAGAGCAGAGAAUUCCCAGGAUUGAGCACAAGGGUGCCUUUGUCACCGGAAAGAGAAAGAUCCACCCAGUGAGCCCUCACCUCGGUACUGGAAGACGUCAUGCGUGUCCAAGGGCACUCCGGGGAAUAUCUGGUACACCUCGCUGGCGCUCCGGGGAUCCACCAUCUGCGCCUUCACGUCGAACCUGCGGGCGGGCACCGAAGAGACAGGUGCUGAGCCGGCGGGCGGGCGGCGGACGGCGCCCGGGCUCCCCCUGCCGGCAGCCGCGGCAGCUCUCACCUCCAGACGCGCCUCCCGCUGAACAGCAGCAUCUUCCCCGAGCCGCGCGGGAGGGCCCCGGUCACCUGGGCCACGUCGGCGCCCAGGCCCAGCUUGUCCAAGCGCCUCGGGCCCAGCACCUUCGCGCCUGUGUACACCCACACCUGGCGCCCUGCAGGGGAGUAGGGUCACUUCGGUCUGGGGACGCAGAGAGCGCACGCACUCUUCUAGAACGCGAGGAGGGAGAUCCCAGCGAGGCCUUUCCUAGCCCGCGUGCCCGCAGUCUCUGCACUGCAGGGCCAGAGGCGCUGGGUCCGGGGGCUCGAGGGCGUGGAGAGGAGGGGGCAGAAACUCAGCCGCCCCGACGUUUGCUAAACUGCGUCCGCCAGGGGGCGUCUUUUUCUAAAACGCACAAGACUUUUCGUGGGUUAUCGAUGGUCUCCUAGGCCUCCUUGACUGAUGGGGAUUGACGCGGCGGCGGACGGGGAGAAGAGAACUAACCAGAGAAGAAGAAAAGCUUCUUGGAGAGCGGCUCCUCAAAGGCUGAGUCCAGCUUGCGGGGCAGGGCGGGCCACGUGUCGGCGAUAGGGAAGGGGCCCUGUGGCCGGCUUCCCCUGCCCUCAGAGAAUCGCCAGUACCUCCUGAGGACGCGAGGAGGGAAAGGACGGGCUCUGAGCCUUGCACCCAGGGCCAGUGGGCGGGGAGGGACGGGCAUCCCCUCCACCAGGCCCCCUCCCGCAUCCACACAUCCCUGCCUCCUCACCCAUCCUUGAAGAAAUAUAGCUGGUUCCCAAUCUC